GACGAAGGGGGCUAGCGUUGUUCGGAAUUAUUGGGCGUAAAGCGCGUGUAGGCGGCUAUGCAAGUCGGGUGUGAAAGCCCUCGCUUAACCGAGGAAGUGCGCCCGAAACUGCAUGGCUUGAGUACCGGAGAGGAUGGCGGAAUUCCCCAAGUAGAGGUGAAAAUUCGUAGAUAUGGGGAGGAACACCGGCGGCGAAGGCGGCCAUCUGGACGGAUACUGACGCUGAGACGCGAAAGCGUGGGUAGCAAACAGG
rnacentral:rRNA from 1 species